rnacentral:rRNA from 1 species
AGUGAACGCUGGCGGUAGGCCUAACACAUGCAAGUCGAACGGCAGCACAGUAAGAGCUUGCUCUUACGGGUGGCGAGUGGCGGACGGGUUAGGAAUACAUCGGAAUCUACUUUUUCGUGGGGGAUAACGUAGGGAAACUUACGCUAAUACCGCAUACGACCUACGGGUGAAAGCAGGGGAUCUUCGGACCUUGCGCGAUUGAAUGAGCCGAUGUCGGAUUAGCUAGUUGGCGGGGUAAAGGCCCACCAAGGCGACGAUCCGUAGCUGGUCUGAGAGGAUGAGCAGCCACACUGGAACUGAGACACGGUCCAGACUCCGACGGGAGGCAGCAGGGGGGAAUAUUGGACAAUGGGCGCAAGCCUGAUCCAGCCAUACCGCGUGGGUGAAGAAGGCCUUCGGGUUGUAAAGCCCUUUUGUUGGGAAAGAAAAGCAGCAGGUUAAUACCCCGCUGUUCUGACGGUACCCAAAGAAUAAGCACCGGCUAACUUCGU